rnacentral:rRNA from 1 species
UACGUAGGUGGCGAGCGUUGUCCGGAAUGACUGGGCGUAAAGGGAGCGUAGGUUGCAAUUUAAGUUAAAUGUGAAAGCCCGUGGCUCAACUACGGAACUGCAUUUAAUACUGGAUAGCUAGAGUACAGGAGGGGUGAGCGGAAUUCCUAGUGUAGCGGUGGAAUGCGUAGAUAUUAGGAAGAACACCGGAGGCGAAGGCGGCUCACUGGACUGCAACUGACACUGAGGCUCGAAAGCGUGGGGAGCAA